rnacentral:tRNA from 1 species
GGAGCCGUGGUGUAGUGGCCUAACAUGCCUGCCUGUCACGCAGGAGAUCGCGAGUUCGACUCUCGUCGGCUCCGCCA